rnacentral:tRNA from 1 species
GGACGAUUAGCUCAGUUGGUAGAGCAUUCGCUUGACGUGCGAAAGGUCAAAGGUUCAAGCCCUUUAUCGUCCACCA